rnacentral:tRNA from 1 species
GGCUUUAUAGUCAAUAAUGAUAUUAGACUGCAAUUCUAAAGGAGCAAGUUAAUUUGCUAAGGCUU